GAAAUUUUGUUGUUGUCAGUCCUAUCAUGACUUUCGCAUAAACGACACGCAUAAAAUCGGUAAAAAGACGCCGCGUGUGUUUCUUGCAAAAGGCAAAGGAAAAAUUAAUACAUACACACACAUGUAUUGCAAAAGCAACUUCGCUGCUGCCUAUCAAACUUCGGGUAGUGUAAUAACAAGAUAAUGCAAUAAAAAUUGUGCCCCAACAAACGUGACAAAUGCACAAGUAAAAAAAUUCAGAAAAAAUAAUUCAAUUGAUUGCCGUCGGUCUCGCUGUCGCUCUUCUGUACGUCUGUGUCUAAGUGAAUGUGUGUGUGCGUUAAUAAAUCACAAAUAACAACAAUUUCGUGAGACUUGCUGCAUUUUAGCCGCUGUUGCAGUCGCAGUAAACGUUGCCGUCGCAGUUCGCGUCGUGUUUUAGUUAGCAUCGAAUUUUCAUUUGUAAAUUUCAACUCGUCUGUCUCUUACGCCGCCGCGGCCGCCGCCACCGACGCUGCACACACACGCACGCAACACACUCAUACAUACAAAUGCGGAAGAGUCGCCGCACUCAUCGAAAUCAGCUCCCCACCGUUGCCACCAACAAAAAUUCGCUGCCGCCGUCGCAGCUGCUGCCGCCACUCAAUAAUUGUGCAUUUUUUUAAGUCGCCAGCAACAACAACAAUAGCCGGAAAAAUAAGUAAAAAAUGUGCAAAAAUUUAAACGAAAUUCUUUAAAUUCAUUUCUAAUGUGUUAAAUAAAAAAAAAAAUACAACAAAUUUGUGUGCACAACAACACGAGCAACAAAAUUACAAACACCAAAUGGGCAACUAUUGAAUGGCGGCCAUCAGUGGCCCCAAGCGGCAUCCAUUGAGCAAUCAACACCAUUUCUCCCAUCCAACCACCAAAACCGCCACCACCACCAACAACAACAAUAACAGCAACAGCACAACUAACAGCAGCAAGCAGAGGCUUUAUAGCUAUCAAACGCCAGCUAAUCCUCAGCACACAGCACCCAGCUACUCCAGCACGAACACCACCAACAACAGCAGGCGGAGCAGCAUCGACAGCUGCCCAAAUCCUUUAGCUGCUGCGCCGCGUAGCUCAAUGAGCGUUUCGAUGUCACUGGUACAGGGUGGUGCUGCCGGUGGUGCGCCACAGGGCGCCAGCGCAAUAUUAGCCGCAGCGGCUCCAUAUUAUCAGCCGCCAGCGGUGCCACAGGAUGUACAGCCGGAUCGUCCAAUUGGCUACGGUGCAUUCGGCGUUGUCUGGGCCGUCACAGAUCCGCGCGAUGGACGCCGCGUCGCACUGAAAAAGCUGCCAAAUGUGUUUCAAUCUUUGGUCUCAUCUAAGCGCGUUUUUCGUGAACUGAAAAUGCUAUGCUUUUUCAAGCAUGAGAACGUGCUGUCAGCUUUGGACAUUUUACAGCCACCACAUUUGGACUUCUUUCAGGAAAUCUAUGUGAUAACUGAGCUGCUGCAAUCGGAUCUGCACAAGAUCAUAGUGUCGCCACAGCAUCUGUCUGCCGAUCACAUCAAGGUGUUUCUCUAUCAGAUAUUGCGCGGCCUGAAGUAUUUGCACUCGGCACGGAUACUCCAUCGCGAUAUCAAGCCGGGCAAUUUGCUGGUCAACUCGAAUUGUGUGCUCAAGAUAUGCGAUUUUGGGCUGGCACGCGUCGAGGAGCCGGACCAGGCCAAGCACAUGACCCAGGAGGUGGUCACACAAUACUAUCGGGCGCCGGAGAUACUCAUGGGUGCACGCCACUAUUCGUCGGCGGUGGAUGUGUGGUCGGUGGGCUGCAUUUUUGGCGAGCUGCUUGGCCGGCGUAUACUGUUCCAGGCGCAGAAUCCUGUGCAGCAGCUGGAGCUAAUCACCGAGCUGCUGGGCACACCCACCAUGGAGGAUAUGCGUCAUGCCUGCGAGGGUGCACGCACCCACAUGCUGAGGCGUGCCCCAAAGCCGCCAUCCUUCUCGGUCCUCUAUACGCUCAGCUCACAUGCCACGCACGAGGCGGUGCAUUUGCUAUGCCAGAUGCUUGUCUUUGAUCCGGACAAGCGCAUUUCAGUGACAGAUGCCCUGGCGCAUCCGUAUCUGGAUGAGGGUCGUCUGCGCUAUCAUUCGUGCAUGUGCAAAUGCUGUUUCACUACCUCAGCUGGUAUGCGUCAGUAUACGGCGGACUUUGAGCCAUCCGCCGGGCAGCCCUUUGAUGAUUUAUGGGAGCGCAAGCUCACCUCCGUGCAGCAGGUGAAGGAGGAAAUGCAUAAAUUCAUUGCCGAGCAGCUGCAAACGGGCCGUGUACCGCUUUGCAUUAAUCCGCAGAGUGCGGCCUUUAAGAGCUUUGCCAGCCAAUGAGAAUGAGAAUAUCUACUACUACUACCACUACUACCACAACUUGCACUGCUGCUCCUCCUGUCGCUGCUGCUGCUGCCGCUGCUACGCCGCGACGCCGCUGCCGCCGCCGCUGCCGCUGCGCAGGCCAAGGCCAAGUACAAGUACUAGGCGCGUACCGAUAAACCGAUUAACCGAUUAACCGAUAAAUAUAUAUAUAAACCAAUAAAGUCAAGUCAACACAGAAAACAGAACGAAUCAAGAAUCAAGCCAGAAGUCACAAAAAUAAAACUAGAAACAAAACUGCCGCCAGAAAGAAAGAAAGAAAGCAAGAAAGAAAGGCAAGCGAGCAAAGAAAGCAAGAAAGAUACCAAGCAAUCGAAUCGAAUCGAAUCGAUAUAUAUCGAUACACACUGCAGUUGUGUGGGGCCUCGGCAGCAGCAACUCCCAUGUGCGCGCGAUCUUGAAUCUUUAGCUCAACUGUGGCGCAUCCCUCGGAGCUGCCGCCUUCGCCGCAUCAAUGGGAAUGACGGCAAAAUGAGGCGAUUGCUGCCUAAAAUAUCAAAAGCAACACUCAAACAACAACAACAACAACAACAAACACUUGAGCAACACACAACACACACACAAAUACACCAACAAUGGCUGGCAUAUAAUAUAUAUAAGCCACGGACAAGGGGCUUUGGCGCAGCGCCCCGCUGUAAACAACAACCCCCUCCACACCCCCCCCCCCCCUCGUCAACAGCAAAUGAAUGAAUGAAACAAGGUUUAAAUUGAAGGCGCCAAACACUUUUAAGCGCUGUUUGUUUAAAAGUUAAAGCAUUCCACCACCGAAAUCAACUAAGAGAAAAUUAAAACAACAAAAAGAAAAACUCUAAAAAUAGGCUUAAAUGAAAGCAAGCUAAAAGUUAAAACACAUACAAAAAUGUAACGUAACUCAACUGAAACUAGUCUAAAAAACGAAAAGAAAAGAAAGUUAAGAAAACAACAAUAAGCGAAAUUGUUGUUAAGGCAGCGGCACAAAAAACACAAAAGCAAAAACAAGCGAAUUCGAAGAAAAUUAUUGUUAACAAAAACAACAACAAAAAUUACGCAAACAAAUUAAUAGCGUAGACAACACAAAUUUGAGCAACAAAAAUAAUUUGUUGUGCUUGACAAAAUUGGUAGAAAAACAAAACAAAACAAAACAAAAAACAAACAAAUUUUUGGUCUUAAAAGCAAGUUAAAAAAUGUUUUUAUUUUAAGCGCUUUGAAAAUCUAUGUAAAUUAAUUAGCAAUUAGUCUAAAACAAAACUACACACAUACACACAUAGACGUCGUAAUAAACAAAAAGUUAUAUAAAUAAUAUUAUAUUUAAACACACACACAGACAGACAACAACAAAUUUGUUUGCCAAAUUUACCUCACAAUCAGACACAUUGAAUUAAUUCGUUUUUUAUCUGUGUAUAGCUAAAACUAUAGAACUCUUAUGUGUAGCACUUAAAAACAACAACAAAAACAUACAACAAAAAAAAGAAAAGAGAAAAGAAAACUAAACUAAACUAUAAAUAAUUACAAUUUUCUAAACUAACAAAAACAAAAAACACAACAAUUUAUUUCAUAUAUUUGCGCUUCAAUUUUGAAACUGGUUUCUAACUAUAUGUAGAAUGGCUCUAUAAAUGCCGCACACAGUUCUAUACCCACAUAUAUAUAUAUAUAUAUAUUUAUAUAUAUAACCAUAAUAUAUAUAUGUAUGUAUUUAUAAAUUAAAUGUGUGUUUGUUUAUGUACAUCUGUGUGUCUGUAUGUCAUAUAGGAAAAAUACAAAAAUGAAAAAACAAAAACAAAAGCACGCAAAACUUUCGAAAUUAGUUGAGAAAAACAUUAAUAAUAUAUAUUUUAACCGUGGACUGAUUUAAUUGUUUAACUUUAACAAUUAUGCAAUUAAACAAUUUAAUUUUUUGUAAUAAUUCUAAUACUAAUUCUUAGUUAAACACAAUUUACAUUAUGCGCCUAUGAUUAUUUUUAAGUUAAUGCUAAUUAUUAAUACGUUUUGCUGCAGCAGGCAAAUGUUUAGUUUGUAGCGCACGCAUUUCAACUAUGUAUGUAUAUAUAUGUAUGUAUGUAUAUAUGUGUAUGUAUAUAUAUAUGUAUAUACUAUAUAAGUUGCAAAUGUUAGUUAAAAGCAAAACCAACAAGUGGACGACACACUGCCCCCCAGUGAAUGUGCACAGGCGCUCAAAAGUUGCAGCAACAACAACACAAACACAGCACAUGCCACAGUACGACAGGCAGCACUCGAUAAGGCGAACUAGCCAGACUCUCACUCUCUCUCUCUCUCUCUGUGUGUGUGUGUGUGCGUGUGUGUGUGUGCGUUUGGCUGUCUAGCAACGGGAUUUGAACGUCUGGCUAAUUCAAGAUAGUUUAUAUUCUUAAUUAGUUUAACUGUAAUAUAGUUUAAUUUCCUUCUUUAAGCCCACAACUACCCACCCCCCCCCCGCUCCCCUCCCCCUUCUUCCCCUCUCAAAAACCCAGCCAAUUUUCGUAUUCUUUUUAAGUAGCAACAAAUGCUCAUGCCAACUAAAUGCUAUAGCUAAAGGAACGCCAGUUCUGCAUAGAUCUGUUAGUAUCUCUAGACCCCAUAUAUAUAUAUAUAUAUAUAUUUAAAUGUAUGUAUGUUUAAGACUGAGUUCUCUCAUUUCCUUACAAAAGAGAUGGUUGACAAGCGCGCCUAUAUGCAAUAUAUAUAAAUGUCAGAAAUGUUGUUGGAUAACACGCGGAAUGUAGAAAGCCAAAUGUUUGAAGAAUUGCAAAUUUUGAAUGCUUGAAUUAUGUAUUCAAAAUGUAGCCAACUAUAUAUAAAUAAUAUUUAUAUAUAUAUAUACCUACGUACAUAUACAUAUAUAUCCAUUACAUAUGUGUAGUUGUGUAUUCGUAAUUUUUAAAGUCUUUUGGAUAAAAAGUUAAAAUUCUCGAAAUUGUAGGCGCUGUGCUGUGCAUACAAAAUACGCUCAAUUUCUAAACCCAAUUUCUUCGACUCUUAACUGUGCUGCUUUCUUAUGUAUGUAGUUUUUAAUCACACACAUAUAUAUAUAUAUACAUAUAUAUAUAUAUAUUUAUAUAUUUAUAUAUACACACACAUAUAUAGUACACUUAUAUAUGCAUUAAUUUAGCGUACGCUUAAAGACGACAUUAAAGAAUUGAUGGAAAACAAAUAUGAAUUCAAACUUUCACGGAGAUCUCAAAACGAAAAAAAAAACAUGAUGAAAAGCGAAAAGGAAAUCGUGGGUGAAAACUACAAAUGUAA